rnacentral:rRNA from 1 species
GACAGAGGAUGCAAACGUUGUUCGGAAUUACUGGGCGUAAAGCGAGUGUAGGCGGUUUCCUAAGUCAGGUGUGAAAGCCCCGGGCUCAACCCGGGAAGUGCACUUGAAACUGGGAGGCUAGAGUAUCGGAGAGGUUGGUGGAAUUCUCGGUGUAGAGGUGAAAUUCGUAGAUAUCGAGAGGAACACCGGUGGCGAAGGCGGCCAACUGGACGAAUACUGACGCUGAGACUCGAAAGCGUGGGGAGCAAACAGG